rnacentral:ribozyme from 15 species
UAAUUGCAGACAAAUCUGGAUGCGUCUUCUCCUUAUGCUUUUUCUUAUUAUUUUUGAUUGUUUUUACAUCCUCCU